rnacentral:rRNA from 1 species
AGAGUUUGAUCCUGGCUCAGGACGAACGCUGACGGUGUGCUUUAGGCAUGCAAGUCGAACGAGAAAGCCCUUCGGGGUGAGUAAAGUGGCGAACGGGUGAGUAACACGUGGGCAACCUGCCCCUCGCAGGGGGACAACCGGAGGAAACUCCGGCUAAUACCCCGUAAGCUCUACACGCCGCAUGGCGAGUAGAGGAAAGGUAGCUUCGGCCAUCCGGCGAGGGAUGGGCCCGCGGUGCAUUAGCUAGUUGGUGGGGUAACGGCCCACCAAGGCGACGAUGCGUAGCUGGUCUGAGAGGAUGAUCAGCCACACUGGGACUGAGACACGGCCCAGACUCCUACGGGAGGCAGCAGCCAGGAAUCUUGGGCAAUGGGCGAAAGCCUGACCCAGCAACACCGUGUGGGUGAUGAAGGCCUUCGGGUCGUAAAGCCCUGUUGAUAGGGACGAAGGGCGAAGGGUUAAUAGCCCGGAGCUUGACGGUACCUUUCGAGGAAGCCCCGGCUAACUACGUGCCAGCAGCCGCGGUAAUACGUAGGGGGCGAGCGUUGUCCGGAAUUAUUGGGCGUAAAGAGCGUGUAGGCGGUUCGGUAAGUCUGUCGUGAAAUCCUGGGGCUCAACCCUGGGCGUGCGAUGGAUACUGCCGGGCUAGAGGGUGGUAGAGGCGAGUGGAAUUCCCGGUGUAGCGGUGAAAUGCGCAGAUAUCGGGAGGAACACCAGUAGCGAAGGCGGCUCGCUGGGCCACACCUGACGCUGAGACGCGAAAGCUAGGGGAGCGAACAGGAUUAGAUACCCCAGUAGUCC